CUAUUAAGAACAUUCCAGCAUGUCUGACGCGGUGAGAUGCUGGAAAAUUAAUUUCCUAAUUUAUGACAGCAAUGAUCGGAUAGACACAGGGAAUCCUGGGUGCUGAUGCUAAGCAAUCUCUUCUACCAUUGCUUUGCAAGUUGCAACUCUCAAUUUAGCUGGCUCCUUGGGUUGUUAGGCUUAUAUUUUAUUCAUGUAAGAGUCAAGAGUCUACUCUGAAGGUUUCAAAUUUCUCAAGAACUCGUCUCUCUCACAGAAAGCCAUUCAAUUGUUUCUUUCUUUCUUAUUCUUAUAUAUCCUAACUUCUGGUUGGAGCAGUUCUUCGUUGACACAACAGAGGAAGAACAAGGGCUACAAACAUACACACGAGAAGGUCAUGGGGCAUCACCAUCAUCAUCACCACCAUCAUCAUAGCGAUAGCCCAUAUGAUGAUCCCUUGUUGGCUUGUUGUUGCUGCCCUUGCUUGCUAGUUUCUUCCUUGCUGAGAGGAUUUGGGAGAUGUAUAUUUGCAGCUUGUUACCCUCUCUUUCGUUGCUUUGGAUUGGAAGACCACCACCACCACCACCAUUUCUUUUGAUCAUUGUUUGGUAGUUUUGUUUCUUUCGUUUUCUAGUUUUACAGCCAAAUCGAUUGGAAAGAAAAAAGAUUUAAUUCAAGCGAGAUGUUGAUUUUUUU